rnacentral:rRNA from 1 species
UUAAGAGCUUGCUCUUAUGAAGUUAGCGGCGGACGGGUGAGUAACACGUGGGUAACCUGCCCAUAAGACUGGGAUAACUCCGGGAAACCGGGGCUAAUACCGGAUAACAUUUUGAACCGCAUGGUUCAAAAUUGAAAGGCGGCUUCGGCUGUCACUUAUGGAUGGACCCGCGUCGCAUUAGCUAGUUGGUGAGGUAACGGCUCACCAAGGCAACGAUGCGUAGCCGACCUGAGAGGGUGAUCGGCC